rnacentral:misc_RNA from 1 species
CUGCACUAACAUACAGGGAGUUUCAAACAACAAUGCGACUCCUAAGCCUUGUGAUUUAUUGCCCAACAAAGACACUCGUUGAUCUUUCCCAGAGGAUAAACAGCCAAUACAAACUGUUCAUACUGAUAAAAGGUUGUUAUCAACCAUGUUUAGUCCUCUUAAGGGCAAUCAAUAAAGAGAAAGAAGAAAAUGUACACUUUUCUGCUGUUGUUUUGCUUAUUUUGUUUCAUUCAUCAACUAUGAUUAGAACAGCUGCAAAAUUUUCGUUGAAACUCUUAUGGUAAAAGUAAAUACAUAUGAUCAACAAUUUUAUAAAUUGAAUGUUCAACAACAGGAAGUAUAAAUCUUGAAACUGUAGACUGAAGCUUCAUAUCAGUGAAUGUCUUCAAAUCAUUUUCUGGUAGACAUUACAGCUGCUUUCCCUUCGUAUGUAUUAAAGUCACCCUUGCCUGAUUUUGCAAUAAUCCGACUCUCUUGUGAGCAACUUCGAUGAGAUGAGGAUCC